rnacentral:rRNA from 1 species
CCUGAUCCAGCAAUGCCGCGUGUGUGAAGAAGGUCUUCGGAUUGUAAAGCACUUUUGGCGGGGACGAUGAUGACGGUACCUGCAGAAUAAGCCCCGGCUAACUUCGUGCCAGCAGCCGCGGUAAUACGAAGGGGGCUAGCCUUGCUCGGAAUGACUGGGCGUAAAGGGCGCGUAGGCGGCUGGGCCUAGUCAGGUGUGAAAUUCCUGGGCUCAACCUGGGGACUGCUUCUGAUACGUGUCCUCUAGAUUGUGGAAGAGGGUUGUGGAAUUUCCAGUGUAAAAGUGAAAUUCGUAGAUAUUGGAAAGAACACCGGUGGCGAAGGCGGCAACCUGGUCCUUUACUGACGCUGAGGCGCUAAAGCGUGGGGAGCAAACAGGAUUAGAUACCCUGGUAGUCCACGCUGUUAACGAUGUGUGCUGGAUGUUGGGAAACUUAGGACUUCAGUGUCGUAGCUAACGCGAUAAUCACACCGCCUGGGGAGUACGGCCGCAAGGUUGAAGCUCAAAGAAUUGACGGGUU